ACCAGACUCCUACGGGAGGCAGCAGUGGGGAAUAUUGGACAAUGGGGGAGACCCUGAUGCAGCGACGCCGCGUGAGUGAAGAAGUAAUUCGUUAUGUAAAGCUCUAUCAGCAGGGAAGAAAAUGACGGUACCUGAGUAGGAAGCCCCGGCUAACUACGUGCCAGCAGCCGCGGUAAUACGUAGGGGGCAAGCGUUAUCCGGAUUUACUGGGUGUAAAGGGAGCGUAGACGGCAGUGCAAGUCUGGAGUGAAAGGCGGGGGCUCAACCCCCGGACUGCUCUGGAAACUGUACGGCUAGAGUGCAGGAGAGGUAAGUGGAAUUCCUAGUGUAGCGG
rnacentral:rRNA from 1 species